AUGCAGUCGAGCGGAUGACAGGAGCUUGCUCCUGAAUUCAGCGGCGGACGGGUGAGUAAUGCCUAGGAAUCUGCCUGGUAGUGGGGGACAACGUUUCGAAAGGAACGCUAAUACCGCAUACGUCCUACGGGAGAAAGUGGGGGAUCUUCGGACCUCACGCUAUCAGAUGAGCCUAGGUCGGAUUAGCUAGUUGGUGAGGUAAUGGCUCACCAAGGCGACGAUCCGUAACUGGUCUGAGAGGAUGAUCAGUCACACUGGAACUGAGACACGGUCCAGACUCCUACGGGAGGCAGCAGUGGGGAAUAUUGGACAAUGGGCGAAAGCCUGAUCCAGCCAUGCCGCGUGUGUGAAGAAGGUCUUCGGAUUGUAAAGCACUUUAAGUUGGGAGGAAGGGUUGUAGAUUAAUACUCUGCAAUUUUGACGUUACCGACAGAAUAAGCACCGGCUAACUCUGUGCCAGCAGCCGCGGUAAUACAGAGGGUGCAAGCGUUAAUCGGAAUUACUGGGCGUAAAGCGCGCGUAGGUGGUUUGUUAAGUUGGAUGUGAAAUCCCCGGGCUCAACCUGGGAACUGCAUCCAAAACUGGCAAGCUAGAGUAGGGCAGAGGGUGGUGGAAUUUCCUGUGUAGCGGUGAAAUGCGUAGAUAUAGGAAGGAACACCAGUGGCGAAGGCGACCACCUGGGCUCAUACUGACACUGAGGUGCGAAAGCGUGGGGAGCAAACAGGNUUAGAUACCCUGGUAGUCCACGCCGUAAACGAUGUCAACUAGCCGUUGG
rnacentral:rRNA from 1 species